AGGUCUGAUAUUCUAUCUUUCUAUGAUGCUGUAAAACUUGGAGCAUAUUCUGUCUGACCUGG
rnacentral:pre_miRNA from 1 species